rnacentral:rRNA from 1 species
CCCAGACUCCUACGGGAGGCAGCAGUGGGGGAUAUUGCACAAUGGGGGGAACCCUGAUGCAGCGACGCCGCGUGGGUGAAGAAGCGCCUCGGCGCGUAAAGCCCUGUCAGCAGGGAAGAAAAUGACGGUACCUGAAGAAGAAGCCCCGGCUAACUACGUGCCAGCAGCCGCGGUAAUACGUAGGGGGCAAGCGUUAUCCGGAUUUACUGGGUGUAAAGGGAGCGUAGACGGCAAGGCAAGUCUGGAGUGAAAGCCCGUGGCUCAACCACGGGACUGCUUUGGAAACUGUGUUGCUGGAGUGCAGGAGGGGUAAGCGGAAUUCCUAGUGUAGCGGUGAAAUGCGUAGAUAUUAGGAGGAACACCGGUGGCGAAGGCGGCUUACUGGACUGUAACUGACGUUGAGGCUCGAAGGCGUGGGGAGCAAACAGGAUUAGAUACCCCAGUA